rnacentral:rRNA from 1 species
GACGAACGCUGGCGGCGUGCUUAACACAUGCAAGUCGAGCGUUGAAGCUUCUUCGGAAGUGGAUUAGCGGCGGACGGGUGAGUAACACGUGGGUAACCUGCCUCAUAGAGGGGAAUAGCCUUUCGAGAGGAAGAUUAAUACCGCAUAUGGUAGCUUUAUCGCAUGGUAGUGCUAUUAAAGGAGUAAUCCGCUAUGAGAUGGACCCGCGUCGCAUUAGCUAGUUGGUGAGGUAACGGCUCACCAAGGCGACGAUGCGUAGCCGACCUUAGAGGGUGAUCGGCCACAUUGAGACUGAGACACGGCCCAGACUCCUACGGGAGGCAGCAGUGGGGAAUAUUGCACAAUGGGGGAAACCCUGAUGCAGCAACGCCGCGUGAGUGAUGACGGCCUUCGGGUUGUAAAACUCUGUCUUUGGGGACGAUAAUGACGGUACCCAAGGAGGAAGCCACGGCUAACUACGUGCCAGCCGCCGCAGUAA